rnacentral:lncRNA from 12 species
AUUAUAUAAUAAUUAUAUAUAUAUAAUAUACAUAUUUUCUAUUUUCUGUAUUUUACUUAUAAAAUAAUAAUUUCUAGGAAAAAAAAGAAAGUUCGUGAAGGAUGAUUUAACACCCAAAUCGUAUGCAUGUAUACUUACAUUUUUGAAAGUUUAUCAAUUAAAAGAAUAUAAAACUUGAGAACCUUUUUUUUGUUUUUUUUUUUACUGUAUUGAAAAGAUCUCAAUUUUAAAUUUGCAACAGGUGAGAAUUUGCUACUAAGGCUACACUGUUUAUGAGGAAUUAGGCAUGAGACCUGAGUAAUUACAUGAACGAAAGAGGAACCUUAGUAACUUUGUAAGGUCAGAAAACUAAAAUGACCAAUGAGUGACAGAGAUCCACUGCAUGUGCCAAUCUUUCUGGGUUUCAAAGUCUAAAUUCCACUGUCUGUCAAAAUGGGAGGUUUUCAAGUAGAUUGUUGAGAAAACAACUGAUAACAGUUUGGCAGCUACCUCACCAAUUUUCUGUAUACUACUUAUUACAUUGAAAGGUAUGAUCUCUUUGUGCUAUGGGUUGCAAAGUAUUUUCCUGUUUGUCAUUUAUCCUAAAAUUAAGCUUCAUUAUAUA